GUCUACAGCCAUGCCACCCUGAACAAGCCCUAUCCCAUCUGAUCUCAGAAGCUAAGCAGGGUCUGGCCUGGUUAGUAGUUGGAUGGGAGACCAGAUCACAUAGGAAGACCAGGUGUUGUGUGUG
ensembl:rRNA 5S_rRNA 5S ribosomal RNA